ACCUCCCACCCGUGUUUACUGUACCUUAGUUGCUUCGGCGGGCCCGCCAUUCGUGGCCGCCGGGGGCUCUCAGCCCCGGGCCCGCGCCCGCCGGAGACACCACGAACUCUGUCUGAUCUAGUGAAGUCUGAGUUGAUUGUAUCGCAAUCAGUUAAAACUUUCAACAAUGGAUCUCUUGGUUCCGGCAUCGAUGAAGAACGCAGCGAAAUGCGAUAACUAGUGUGAAUUGCAGAAUUCCGUGAAUCAUCGAGUCUUUGAACGCACAUUGCGCCCCCUGGUAUUCCGGGGGGCAUGCCUGUCCGAGCGUCAUUGCUGCCCAUCAAGCACGGCUUGUGUGUUGGGUCGUCGUCCCCUCUCCGGGGGGGACGGGCCCCAAAGGCAGCGGCGGCACCGCGUCCGAUCCUCGAGCGUAUGGGGCUUUGUCACCCGCUCUGUAGGCCCGGCCGGCGCUUGCCGAACGCAAAUCAAUCUUUUUCCAGGUUGACCUCGGAUCAGGUAGGGAUACCCGCUGAACUUAAGCAUAUCAA
rnacentral:rRNA from 1 species